rnacentral:rRNA from 1 species
AUUGAACGCUGGCGGCAGGCCUAACACAUGCAAGUCGAGCGGAGCGGCGGAGGGGUGAGUAAUGCCUAGGAAUCUGACUGGUAGUGGUGGAUAACGUCCGGAAACGGGCGCUAAUGCUGAAUACUAUUAGAAGAGCCUAGGUCGGAUUAGCUAGUUGGUGGGGUAAAGGCAUACCAAGGCGACGCUCCGUAACUGGUCUGAGAGGAUGAUCAGUCACACUGGAACUGAGACACGGUCCAGACUCCUACGGGAGGCAGCAGUGGGGAAUAUUGGACAAUGGGCGAAAGCCUGAUCCAGCCAUGCCGCGUGUGUGAAGAAGGUCUUCGGAUUGUAAAGCACUUUAAGUUGGGAGGCGUUACCAACAGAAUAAGCACCGGCUAACUUCGUGCCAGCCGCCGCGGUAAUUC